CUCUCAAAUAUGGCAGCUCAUAUAAAACUGGAACCAUACAGAGAAGAUUGGCAUGGCCCCUUGCACAAGGAUGUUACUCAAACUCACUAAGCAUUCUCUCUAUAC